rnacentral:rRNA from 1 species
GUAGGGAAUAUUGCUUAAUGGGCGAAAGCCUGAAGCAGCAACGCCGCGUGAACGAAGAAGGCCUUCGGGUCGUAAAGUUCUUUUACGUGGGAUGAGGAAGGACAGUACCACGAGAAUAAGUCUCGGCUAACUACGUGCCAGCAGCCGCGGUAAAACGUAGGAGACGAGCGUUAUCCGGAUUUACUGGGCGUAAAGCGCGUGUAGGAGGCGCUACAAGUUGGAUGUGAAAGCUCCCGGCUUAACUGGGAGAGGUCGUUCAAGACUGUAGUGCUAGAGUGAGGCAGAGGUAGAUGGAACUCCGGGAGUAGUGGUGAAAUGCGUAGAUAUCCGGAAGAACACCAGAGGCGAAAGCGAUCUACUGGGCCUAAACUGACACUGAGACGCGAAAGCCAGGGUAGCAAACGGGAUUAGAAACCCCUGUAGUCC